AACGAACGCUGGCGGCAUGCCUAACACAUGCAAGUCGAACGAACCCUUCGGGGUUAGUGGCGCACGGGUGCGUAACACGUGGAAUCUGCCCUUUGCUUCGGAAUAACAGUUAGAAAUGACUGCUAAUACCGGAUGAUGUCGUAAGACCAAAGAUUUAUCGGCAAAGGAUGAGCCCGCGUAGGAUUAGGUAGUUGGUGGGGUAAAAGGCCUACCAAGCCGACGAUCCUUAGCUGGUCUGAGAGGAUGAUCAGCCACACUGGGACUGAGACACGGCCCAGACUCCUACGGGAGGCAGCAGUGGGGAAUAUUGGACAAUGGGCGAAAGCCUGAUCCAGCAAUGCCGCGUGAGUGAUGAAGGCCUUCGGUUGUAAGACUCUUUUACCUAGGGAUGAUAAUGACAGUACCUGGAGAAUAAGACUCCGGCUAACUCCGUGCCAGCAGCCGCGGUAAU
rnacentral:rRNA from 1 species